UAGGGAAUCUUCCACAAUGGACGCAAGUCUGAUGGAGCAACGCCGCGUGAGUGAAGAAGGGUUUCGGCUCGUAAAGCUCUGUUGUUAAAGAAGAACGUGGGUAAGAGUAACUGUUACCCAGUGACGGUAUUUAACCAGGAAGCCACGGCUAACUACGUGCCGG
rnacentral:rRNA from 1 species